UACGAAGGGUGCAAGCGUUACUCGGAAUUACUGGGCGUAAAGCGUGCGUAGGUGGUGAGUUAAGUCUGUCGUGAAAGCCCCGGGCUCAACCUGGGAAUGGCGAUGGAUACUGGCUCGCUAGAGUGCGGUAGAGGAGAGUGGAAUUCCCGGUGUAGCAGUGAAAUGCGUAGAGAUCGGGAGGAACAUCAGUUGCGAAGGCGGCUCUCUGGACCAGCACUGACACUGAGGCACCGAAAAGCGUGGGGAGCAAACAGG
rnacentral:rRNA from 1 species